UAAUUUAUUAUUAGAUAAUACAUAAUUUUUAGCAUAAAUAUGUCCUUUGCCAUGCUUCGUUUGGGGCAUACUUAUGCUAAAAAGUAUUUGUUCUUUAUCUGAAAUUCAGAAUUAGGCAUUUU
rnacentral:miRNA from 1 species